AUAAAAUAGACAUAAUGUAGAAUUUAACAUUUUAAGUGUACAAUUCAGUAGCAUUAAUUACAUUUGCAAUGUAAUGUAACCAUCGCCCCAUCUAUUUCUAGAACUUUUCCAUCAUCUCAAAUAGAAACUCUAUACCCAUUAAACAAAGCAAAACUAAAAAAUGAUUUUUUGAAAAUAUCGCUCUUCUCGCCCUGGCUGGUAUAGCUCAGUGGAUUGAACGCAGGCCUGCGAACCAAAGGAUUGCGGUUAGAUUCCCAGUCAGGGCACAUGCCUGGGUUGCAGCCCAGUUCCCAGCAGGGGACACAUGAGAGGCAAUCAUACAUUGAUAUUUCUUUCUCUCUCCUUCCUUUCCCCUCUAAAGAUAAAUAAAUAAAAAUCUAAAAAAAAAAAAAAACCUAAGGGUUUUUAAAAAAUUGCUCUUCUCUUGCUGACUGUUAUUCAGUCCCAUCAGCAAUACUCUUCCCUUUUCUCCAGACUCUGGAACUCUUCUACGCAAGUCAGACUAGGACAGGAUGUGCUGCCGUAACAAACAGCCCCAAGAUCUUGUCUUACACAACAAGUGUUUACUUCUCACUCAGCUCACAUAUGAGUGAGUCUUCUUCUCCCAGUCUUUCAGAGGUCCAGGCUAGUGAGGGCCCAAUCAUUUAAUCACUUCACCAUUUGGAGCAGGAGGACUUCCUGGCUACUAAGGCCGGGCAAGAAGUGCCGUAGAGCCUUGCACCAGCAAGCAAUUGAGUGCUGCAUCUGGGAAUGCCCCACGCCACUUCCAUGGAAGCCAGAAGAACUUGGUGAGACCUGGUAACAGGUUACUGCAUGGAUCAUUCGCUCUGGCUGGGACACCGAGUAGCCAGCAAGUGUAGGGGUGUCAACUGCUUCUGUGGUUACUGGAAGAAGAAGCUGUCUCUGGUUGGUCAUACCCCAGAGAGCUUUAUUUUACCAACAGCCGUUCUUCAUGCUGAUUUUGAAAAGGCCACAAAGCUGCACAGUCUGCUGUCUGCAAGCUGGAGUCCCAGGAAAGUCAAUGAUGCAAAGUCAGUCUGAGGCUGAAGGCCUGAGAACCAGGAG